UAGCGAUAAAAGUAGUGAAAAACUACUUCACCGUAAGACUAAGGGUUCCUGAUCAACGUUAAUCGGAUCAGGGUUAGUCGGGUCCUUAGGCAAACCCGAAAGGGGCAGCUGAUGGAAAACUGGUUAAUAUUCCAGUACUCGCUUUAAUUUCGAUGGAGUGACGCAGAAGUGAACAGCACACGAGGGAAACGGAAUUCCCCGUUUAAGCACGUAGCUAUAGGGAUUGCAGGCAAAUCCGCAGUUCUUGGCGAAAUGUGAAAGUAUAUGAGGGCUUCGGCCUGAUUGAGUGCUCUAAUAGCUGCCGAGAAAAACUUCUAAGGUUAGGUUAAAGCGACCCGUACCGCAAACCGACACAGGUAGUCGAGGCGAAUAGCCUAAGGUGCUCGGGUGAGCCGUGGAGAAGGAACUAGGCAAAUUGUGGCUGUAACUUCGGGAUAAAGCCAGCCGACGUAAGUCGGCCUCAGUAAAAUGGUUCAACCAACUGUUUAACAAAAACACAGGGCCCUGCAAAAUCGUAAGAUGACGUAUAGAGCCUGAUACCUGCCCGGUGCUGGAAGGUUAAGGAAGGGUGUUCGGCGCAAGCCAAAGCUCCUGACUGAAGCCCCAGUAAACGGCGGCCGUAACUAUAACGGUCCUAAGGUAGCGAAAUUCCUUGUCGGGUAAGUUCCGACCUGCACGAAUGGUCUAAUGAGUUGAACACUGUCUCCUCCACGAGCCCGGCGAAAUUGUAGUAUCGGUGAAGAUGCCGGUUACCCGUCACGGGACGGAAAGACCCCGUGAACCUUCACUACAACUUUGCAUUGAUUUUGAGCAACCGAUGUGUAGAAUAGUUGGGACGCUAUGAAGCGGUGCCGCCAGGUGCCGUGAAGCGGUCGUUGAAAUACCAACCUUCGUUUGCUUAGAGUCUAAUCCCUGACGGGAAACAGUGCAUGGUGGGUAGUUUGACUGGGGUGGUCGCCUCCUAAAAAGUAACGGAGGCUUGCAAAGGUUCCCUCAGUACGGUUGGUAAUCGUACGCAGAGCGCAUUAGUAUAAGGGAGCUUGACUGUGAGACAGACAAGUCUAGCAGGGUCGAAAGACGGCUAAAGUGAUCCGGUGGUUCUGCAUGGAAGGGCCAUCGCUCAAAGGAUAAAAGGUACUCCGGGGAUAACAGGCUGAUCUUUCCCAAGAGCUCAUAUCGACGGAAAGGUUUGGCACCUCGAUGUCGGUUCGUCACAUCCUGGGGCUGGAGAAGGUCCCAAGGGUUCGGCUGUUCGCCGAUUAAAGUGGCACGUGAACUGGGUUCAGAACGUCGCAAGACAGUUCGGUCCCUAUCUGUGAUGGGCGUUAGAAUAUUGAGUGGACAUGACCUUAGUACGAGAGGACCGGGUCGUACACACCGCUGGUGUAUCUGUUGUGCCGCCAGGUGCAAUGCAGAGUAGCUAUGUGUGGCCAGGAUAAACGCUGAAAGCAUCUAAGCGUGAAACCUUCCACGAGAUGAGUAUUCUUUUAAGGGUCGUCAAAGACUAUGACGUUGAUAGGCUACAGAUGUAAAGAUGGAAACAUCAAAGUCGAGUAGUACUAAUUACCCGUAUGCUUUAAUUUU
rnacentral:rRNA from 1 species